rnacentral:tRNA from 1 species
GGAACUGCGGCUUACUUGGUCAAAGUGCCUGUCUAGUAAACAGGAGAUCCUGCGUUUAAAUGCCAGCAGUGCCU